rnacentral:rRNA from 1 species
UAGGGAAUCUUCCGCAAUGGACGAAAGUCUGACGGAGCAACGCCGCGUGAGUGAAGAAGGAUUUCGGUUCGUAAAACUCUGUUGUUAGGGAAGAAAAAAUGUAUAGUAACUAUAUACAAAAGAGACGGUACCUAACCAGAGAGCCACGGCUAACUACGUGCCAGCAGCCGCGGUAAUACGUAGGUGGCAAGCGUUGUCCGGAAUUAUUGGGCGUAAAGCGCGCGCAGGUGGUUUAGAAAGUCUGAUGUGAAAGCCCACGGCUCAACCGUGGAGGGUCAUUGGAAACUAAUAAACUUGAGUGCAGGAGAGAAAAGUGGAAUUCCUAGUGUAGCGGUGAAAUGCGUAGAGAUUAGGAGGAACACCGGUGGCGAAAGCGGCUUUUUGGCCUGCAACUGACACUGAGGCGCGAAAGCGUGGGGAGCAAACAGG